rnacentral:lncRNA from 1 species
UUUAGUGCUUUAUUGUAUUAGGGCAGUCCAGGCAGGGACACGAUCUAUAGACGAUGCAGGGCAUGAUCUACAGACGAUGCAGAUUUUACAGACGCAGGAAGCCUUUACCCUGCAGAUGUUAAUGAAUGCAUUAACGCUUACAUAAUGUCCAUGAAUUCAUCAUGUCGCAAAGCACUGUGUAUUGUGUGUGUGUGUGUUACAUGGUUGGGGGUGCGUGACCCCAUACCUGCAGAACUACCCAUACGAAGCAUCUUGAGUUUCGGUGAGCCCACAUACGUUCCAAC